rnacentral:rRNA from 1 species
AAGGGUCCGUAAAACGGUAAAUAAAGCGGUUAUAUUUAACUAAGUAAUUUAAUAUUACUAUCGAACUAAUUUACUAGAGUCUUAUAGAGGAAAGGAGGAAUUGCAAGAGUAAGGAUGAAAUCUUUUGAUACUUGUAGGACCGCUAAUGGCGAAGGCAUCUUUCCAGGUAAAGACUGACGUUGAGGGACGUAGGCGUUGGGAGCGAAAAGGAUUAGAUACCCCUGUAGUCAACGCUGUAAACUAUGAGUGCUAAAGAUUAGUAAAAAUUAAAUAUAAAAAAAUAAUUGUAAAUUAGUCUUGAAAUGAAGAUGUUAAGCACUUCACCUGGGGAGUACUGUCGCAAGGCUGAAACCCAAAACAUUAGACGGUCACGGAAACCAGCAGUGAAGCAUGUUAUUUAAUACGAUGAUCCGCGUACAACCUUACCACUUCUUGAAUGUCCUAUCCUGUAAAAAGGAUAGGCCUAUUUAAUUAAACUAAUAAUAUGAUUAAUUAAAUUUGGAUAAAUACAACAGGCGUUGCAUGGCUGUCUUCAGUUCGUGUCGUGAGAUGUCAGGUUCAUUCCGGUAAACGAAUGAAACCCUUUUUUCUUAAUUUUACAUAUAUUUAAUGGUUAACUAAUUAAUUUAAUUACCAUUUUAUUUCAUUAAGAUGACCCUUGGAAAACGAGGAUAUAAUAGGGAUUAAGACAAGUCGUCAUGGCCUUUAUGAAGUGGGCUAUAGACGUGCCACAAGAGCCUUUACAAUGGGAUGCUAAGACGUGAGUCAGCGCUAAACCUUAAAAAAGGCUAUGUUCGGAUUGUAGUCUGCAACUCGACUACAUGAAGCAGGAAUUGCUAGUAAUCGUAA